ACAGAGAAGAAAAAAGAAGAUGAGGUACCUGUGGUUAGUAUGAGCCAGAUUCUCCGACGGUGGCCUGUUUUUGAUGUUCCUGUUGUUGUCAGAAUGCUGAGAUCUGCAAGACAACCACUUGUUAUAAUUAAAGCCUCAGCUUCAGCACAAUUUUACAAGCAGCACAUUACUUGGUGAAAUUGUUUUGGACAAAUAGACUCCAUUCUGCGGCCUGAACUAAGGUGAAAAGAUACCGACACAGGAAGAAGCAAAUAAAAUUAUAAAACAAAAGUCAUAUUGAAUCCUAAUGCAGAUGAGUCUGGCAUUGACCUCCACCAUAGUGGCAUCGGUUACAGUCCUCAGAGAGUUUCCAUUCUACUUGAAUUUCGGGACCUAACAAGUCAAACAAAUCACCAUCUCCCG